rnacentral:tRNA from 1 species
GCCUGGGUGGCUCAGUCGGUUGAGCGUCCGACUUUGGCUCAGGUCAUGAUCUCGCGGUCUGUGAGUUCGAGCCCCACAUCGGGCU